UUGCCUACGGGGGGCAGCAGUGGGGAAUAUUGGGCAAUGGGCGCAAGCCUGACCCAGCAACGCCGCGUGAAGGAAGAAGGCUUUCGGGUUGUAAACUUCUUUUGUCAGGGACGAAGCAAGUGACGGUACCUGACGAAGAAGCCCCGGCUAACUACGUGCCAGCAGCCGCGGUAAUACGUAGGGGGCAAGCGUUAUCCGGAUUUACUGGGUGUAAAGGGAGCGUAGGCGGUUUAGCAAGUCAGAAGUGAAAGCCCGGGGCUCAACUCCGGGACUGCUUUUGAAACUGUUGAACUAGAUUGCAGGAG
rnacentral:rRNA from 1 species